rnacentral:rRNA from 1 species
UACGUAGGGUGCGAGCGUUAAUCGGAAUUACUGGGCGUAAAGCGUGCGCAGGCGGUUCGUUGUGUCGGCGGUGAAAGCCCCGGGCUUAACCUGGGAAUGGCCGUUGAAACUGGCGAACUGGAGUGUGGCAGAGGGGGGUGGAAUUCCGCGUGUAGCAGUGAAAUGCGUAGAGAUGCGGAGGAACACCGAUGGCGAAGGCAGUUCUCUGGGCCGUAACUGACGCUGAGGAGCGAAAGCGUGGGGAGCGAACAGG